GCUUAAACCCUGCAGUGAGUCCAGAAAGCAGUCAGGACACGGCUGAUCCUGAAGAUGGUGUUUCCUACGCCUCCAUCAGCUACACCAGGAAGACCAACAGUAAAGGCCGGGUUCUGGGUAAAGAUGGUGAUGAUGAAGAUGAUGCAGUGACC